rnacentral:tmRNA from 13 species
GGGGACGACAUGGCUUCGACGCCGGUGGCGAACCCUUGAGUGCAUGUCGAGAUGGCAGCCAAUCUCGUUAAUCCAAAGCUGCAACGCAAUAGUCGCAAACGACGAAAACUACGCACUAGCAGCGUAAGCUGCUAGUCGUCCUGACUGGGUCGCCCGUAGCCCAGAGCUACAUCUCAGGACGUCAUCGCUUACGGGAUGCUC